rnacentral:piRNA from 1 species
CAAAGCCAAGGAAUGGCAGGGAUUGC